AGCCUUACGUCAUAGUGCGACGUGAAGUCAUGGGCAAUAGCGACAGCAGCGCGCACUAUUUCUCGAGUACAGUAGCAGCAGAGCCGAGGGUAUCGCCGAGUGGUCUUCACAGGUGAAGUUACUGCGCGCGUCCUUGUGGCUUUACAUGUGUAAAUAUCACAGAGAAUAAAAGGACGCGGGGCGGGUAAAUCAGUGAUUUUGAUUAGUCUUGGCAAACACUGUGGCACCGGACGCGCAGGGUGGGGGUGCAGCGCAGGGUGGGGGAUGGCCCGGCCCGAUGGCAACGGGUUUCCCCUUUUCUAUCCACAUCCAAUCAGAAGCUCGCCAGGCCGUGACGUCGCACCUAUACUGUGUCGAGGUUCCCUCCUAAAUUUAUAUUGAGCAUUCCGACCGUGGACACGCUGUUUUUAUGAGGUUUAAGUGGUACUUCUAGGUUCAUUUUUAAAAAAGCACCGUUCCAUUUUUAUUGCGACAAGAUUUAUUGGCAUGACAUAAAGUGGCACACAAAAGCAACUGCAUUACAGCUCAGGAUGAAGUUUACAACCAUUUUCUUGGAAAGACAGCAUCAGGGGAUGAUAGGGAAGUCCGGCCAUGUGGGCUGCGAAUGAUGUAAUGAUGUCUGUGUGGUUUAUUGGAUGAGAGAAUUUUAUCAAUAAAGAUAAUAAAAGAAAAUACUACCCACCCUUGCAAAAUCAAAGCUAUCUGGUCAGGAUUACACCAGUGUUAAGUAACCCAACCCACAGUUCUUCUAUACUUCUAUAUAAACAUAUACCCAUAUUAAAAUCACUAGGAUGAAAAAGAUACCAAAAGGUCACUACUAAUACUGAUUAUUCUAAAAUCCUGAUUUUAAAACUAAAACCAAGACAAUAGUUUAAUUCUUGUUCAAAACAGGUUUAAUUGACCUGCAUAUUGCCAUGGGACACUUCUGCUGAUGACUUUGUGGCUGUGUCAUCCUCCUAGUGCAGCACUUUAAAUGCUAUAAGCUCAAACAAACAAAAGCAAAAAGAGAUAACUGUAGGUGUGUGUGUGUGUGUGUGUGUGUGUGUGUGUGUGUGUGUGUGUGUGUGUGUGCG
ensembl:lncRNA